rnacentral:tRNA from 1 species
UGGCUUAUAGCUCAAUGGUUAGAGCAACUGCCUUAUACGCAGCAGGUUACCAGUUCAAGUCUGGUUAAGCCAACAA